rnacentral:rRNA from 1 species
GGAUCCAGACUUUGAUCCUGGCUCAGGAUGAACGCUAGCGGCAGGCCUAAUACAUGCAAGUCGAACGGGAUUGGAGAGCUUGCUUUCCAUGAGAGUGGCGUACGGGUGCGUAACGCGUAUGCAACCUACCUUCAUCAGGGGGAUAGCCCGAAGAAAUUCGGAUUAACACCGCAUAACAUUAUUGGAUGGCAUCAUUUAAUAAUCAAAUAUUUAUAGGAUGAAGAUGGGCAUGCGUGUCAUUAGCUAGUUGGCGAGGUAACGGCUCACCAAGGCGACGAUGACUAGGGGACCUGAGAGGAUGACCCCCCACACUGGUACUGAGACACGGACCAGACUCCUACGGGAGGCAGCAGUAAGGAAUAUUGGUCAAUGGAGGCAACUCUGAACCAGCCAUGCCGCGUGCAGGAAGACUGCCUUAUGGGUUGUAAACUGCUUUUAUACGGGAAUAAACCUUGAUUCGUGAAUCGAGCUGAAUGUACCGUAAGAAUAAGGAUCGGCUAACUCCGUGCCAGCAGCCGCGGUAAUACGGAGGAUCCAAGCGUUAUCCGGAUUUAUUGGGUUUAAAGGGAGCGUAGGCGGCCUAUUAAGUCAGGGGUGAAAGACGGUGGCUCAACCAUCGCAGUGCCUUUGAUACUGGUAGGCUUGAAUGUAGUUGAGGUAGGCGGAAUGUGACAAGUAGCGGUGAAAUGCAUAGAUAUGUCACAGAACACCGAUUGCGAAGGCAGCUUACUAAGCUAUGAUUGACGCUGAGGCUCGAAAGCGUGGGGAUCAAACAGGAUUAGAUACCCUGGUAGUCCACGCCCUAAACGAUGAUAACUCGAUGUUGGCGAUAUACAGUCAGCGUCCAAGCGAAAGCGUUAAGUUAUCCACCUGGGGAGUACGCCCGCAAGGGUGAAACUCAAAGGAAUUGACGGGGGCCCGCACAAGCGGAGGAGCAUGUGGUUUAAUUCGAUGAUACGCGAGGAACCUUACCCGGGCUUGAAAGUUACUGAAGAAUUUAGAGAUAGAUUCGUCCUUCGGGACAGGAAACUAGGUGCUGCAUGGCUGUCGUCAGCUCGUGCCGUGAGGUGUUGGGUUAAGUCCCGCAACGAGCGCAACGC